GACGAACGCUGGCGGCGUGCUUAACACAUGCAAGUCGAACGCUGAAGCCCAGCUUGCUGGGUGGAUGAGUGGCGAACGGGUGAGUAACACGUGAGUAACCUGCCCCCUUCUUUGGGAUAACGCCCGGAAACGGGUGCUAAUACUGGAUAUUCACUGAUCUUCGCAUGGGGGUUGGUGGAAAGGUUUUUUCUGGUGGGGGAUGGGCUCGCGGCCUAUCAGCUUGUUGGUGGGGUGAUGGCCUACCAAGGCUUUGACGGGUAGCCGGCCUGAGAGGGUGACCGGUCACAUUGGGACUGGGAUACGGCCCAGACUCCUACGGGAGGCAGCAGUGGGGAAUAUUGCACAAUGGGCGAAAGCCUGAUGCAGCGACGCCGCGUGAGGGAUGACGGCCUUCGGGUUGUAAACCUCUUUCGCUCAUGGUCAAGCCGCAGCUUUGGGUUGUGGUGAGGGUAGUGGGUAAAGAAGCGCCGGCUAACUACGUGCCAGCAGCCGCGGUAAUACGUAGGGCGCGAGCGUUGUCCGGAAUUAUUGGGCGUAAAGGGCUUGUAGGCGGUUGGUCGCGUCUGCCGUGAAAUCCUCUGGCUUAACUGGGGGCGUGCGGCGGGUACGGGCUGACUUGAGUGCGGUAGGGGAGACUGGAACUCCUGGUGUAGCGGUGGAAUGCGCAGAUAUCAGGAAGAACACCGGUGGCGAAGGUGGGUCUCUGGGCCGUUACUGACGCUGAGGAGCGAAAGCGUGGGGAGCGAACAGG
rnacentral:rRNA from 1 species